rnacentral:misc_RNA from 1 species
UUUCCGUAGGUGAACCUGCGGAAGGAUCAUUACAACAAGGUUCCCUGGCCCUCCAAGCUUCGGCGGAAGGGGGCCACAGCCUGACUUUAUACCCACCCUUUGCCUAUGUGUACCCCUAUUGCUUCCCUCGGCGGGUUCGCCCGCCGACAGGAACCAACUAAACCCUUUGCAUUAUACAUUUAACACAUCCGAUACAAAACUAAAUUAUUACAACUUUUAACAAUGGAUCUCUUGGUGCUGGCAUCGAUGAGGAACGCAGU